AUUGAACGCUGGCGGCAGGCCUAACACAUGCAAGUCGAGCGGAUGAAGGGAGCUUGCUCCUGGAUUCAGCGGCGGACGGGUGAGUAAUGCCUAGGAAUCUGCCUGGUAGUGGGGGAUAACGUCCGGAAACGGGCGCUAAUACCGCAUACGUCCUGAUGGAGAAAGUGGGGGAUCUUCGGACCUCAAGCUAUCAGAUGAGCCUAGGUCGGAUUAGCUAGUUGGUGGGGUAAAGGCCUACCAAGGCGACGAUCCGUAACUGGUCUGAGAGGAUGAUCAGUCACACUGGAACUGAGACACGGUCCAGACUCCUACGGGAGGCAGCAGUGGGGAAUAUUGGACAAUGGGCGAAAGCCUGAUCCAGCCAUGCCGCGUGUGUGAAGAAGGUCUUCGGAUUGUAAAGCACUUUAAGUUGGGAGGAAGGGCAGUAAGUUAAUACCUUGCUGUUUUGACGUUACCAACAGAAUAAGCACCGGCUAACUUCGUG
rnacentral:rRNA from 1 species